rnacentral:ncRNA from 2 species
ACGAUCCACUAGGGGUGCCUUUCAUGAAGGCUGAGAUUAAAGUGUGACUUUAAGACCCUUUGAACCUGAUCUGGUUGAGACCAGCGUAGGGAAGUGGUGUUUGAAGGUU